rnacentral:rRNA from 1 species
CGUAGGGUGCGAGCGUUAAUCGGAAUUACUGGGCGUAAAGUGUGCGCAGGCGGCAGAGCAAGUCGAGUGUGAAAGCCCCGGGCUUAACUUGGGAAUUGCGCUCGGAACUACUUUGCUGGAGUGUGGCAGAGGAAGGUGGAAUUCCACGUGUAGCGGUGAAAUGCGUAGAGAUGUGGAGGAACACCAAUGGCGAAGGCAGCCUUCUGGGCCAACACUGACGCUCAUGCACGAAAGCGUGGGGAGCAACCAGGAUUAGAUACCCUGGUAGGCCACGCCCUAAACGAUGACGACUAGUUGUUGGAGGAGUUAAAUCCUUUAGUAACGCAGCUAACGCGCGAAGUCGUCUGCCUGGGGAGUACGGUCGCAAGAUUA